UACGUAGGGGGCUAGCGUUGUCCGGAAUCAUUGGGCGUAAAGAGCGUGUAGGCGGCCAGACAGGUCCGUUGUGAAAACUGGAGGCUUAACCUCCAGACGUCGAUGGAAACCGUCUGGCUAGAGUCCGGAAGAGGAGAGUGGAAUUCCUGGUGUAGCGGUGAAAUGCGCAGAUAUCAGGAAGAACACCCGUGGCUAAGGCGGCUCUCUAGUACGGUACUGACGCUGAGACGCGAAAGCGUGGGGAGCGAACAGG
rnacentral:rRNA from 1 species